rnacentral:lncRNA from 1 species
CGCUUCAAGUUCCUCCUCUACAAUUGCAGUUUUUUCCUCUUCCCCUUCAACAACUAGUUCUUCAGGUGCCUCUUCAGCCGUUGAUUCUUCAGGUUUCUCUUCAAGUGCUAGUUCUUCAGGUGUUUCCUCCUUUGCCAGCUCUUCAGGUGUUUCUUUAGAUGCCGAUUCUUCAGGUUUCUCUUCAGCCAUCGGUUCUUGAGGUAUUUCCUCUACUUGUACUUCAUAUUUCUCCUCAAUUGUUUGUUCUUCAGGUUUCUCUUCAGGUUUCUCCUUAACCACUGGUACAUCAGGUUUCUCUUGAUUAACUGGUUCUUUGGGUUUUUCUUCAACAGCCGAAUCUUCAGGAUUUUCCUCAAUGUCUUGAAAGCAAGCAAUAUCUUUAGUGGUAUUGCAUGGAAUUUCACUGCCAGUUUUGUUGUUCGAGUCUACAAUUAGCAUAUUCUGCAAAAGGAAUUUGAUGUUUCAUUUAGCCUUUUAAUAAAGAAGCAGAUGUGAAUAACAUUACAUGCAUAACUUACAAAAUGGAUAAAUUUUGUGACAGUCCUUGACCCUUACCUUUUCAGGUUUCUCCUCUUCAACAGCUGAUUCUUCAUGUUUCUCUUCAAAUGCUAGUUCUCUGGGUGUUUCUUCCCGUAGUGCUUCUUCAUGUGCUUCUUCAGUUACUGGUUUUUCAGGUUUCUCCUCAAUUGUUGGUUCUUUGAUUGUCUCCUCAACAGAUGGUUCUUCAAGCUUCUCUCCCGUUGUUGAUUUUUCUGGUUUCUCUUCAAUUGCUGGUUGUUCAGGAAUUUUCUCAACAGCUGGUUCUUCUGGCUUCUCUAAAACCAUUGAUUCUUCAGCUUUCUCUUCAAUUGAUGGUUCUUCAUGGUUUUUUUCAACUAUUGGUUCUUCAGUUUUUUCCUCAACGGAUGCAUAGUCAACAAUAUCAUUGUUGGUAUUGCUUGGAAUUGCAUCGUCUGUCAUGUCCUUUGAGUUUACUUUUGGCAUAUUCUACAAUAAAGUUUCAUGUAGUCUUUCAAUAGAUAAACAGAUGUAAAUUUGUUGCAACAUAUAAAGCUAAUAUGGUGGAUAAACUUUGUGACAGUGUUUAAUCCUCACCUUCUCCCGAAGAUCUUCCGCUUUAAGUUCCUCCUCUUCAAUUGCUGUUUUUUCAUCUUUCGUUUCAACAACUAGUUCUUCAGGUGCCUCUUCAGCCGUUGAUUCUUCAGGUUUUUCUUCAAGUGCCAGCUCUUCAGGUGUUUCCUCCUUUGCCAUCUCUUCAGGUGUUUCCUCCUUUGCCAGCUCUUCAGGUGUUUCUUUAGCUGCUGGUUCUUCAGGUUUCUCUUCAGCCGCCAGUUCUUGAGGUAUCUCCUUUUCUACUUCAGAUUUCUCCUCAACUGUUGGUUCUUCAGGUUUCUCUUCAUUAACUGGUUCUUUGGGUUUUUCUUCAACAGCCGAAUCUUCAGGAUUUUCCUCAAUGUCUGGAAAGUGAGCAACAUCUUUAUUGGUAUUGCAUGCAAUUUCACUGUCAGUUUUGUCGUUCAAGUCUACAAUUAGCAUAUUCUGCAAAAAGAAUUUGAUGUUUCAUUUAGCCUAUUAAUAAAGAAGCAGAUGUGAAUAACAUUACAUGCAUAACUUACAAAAUGGAUAAACUUUGUGAUGGUCCUUGACCCUUACCUUUCCAGGCUUCUCCUCUUCAACGGCCAGUUCUUGUUUCUCUUCAAAUGCUAGUUCCCUGGGUGUUUCUUCCUGUAUUGGUUCUUCAUGUGCUUCUUCAGGUACUGGUUUUUCAGGUUUCUCCUCAAUUGUUGGUUCUUCGAUUGUCUCCUCAACAGAUGGUUCUUCAAGGUUCUCUCCCGUUGUUGAGUCUUCUGGUUUCUCUUCAAUUGCUGGUUGUUCAGAAAUUUUCUCAACAGCUGGUUCUUCUGGCUUCUCCAAAACCAUUGAUUCUUCAGCUUUCUCUUCAAUUAAAGGUUCUUCAUGGUUUUUUUCAACUACUGUUUCUUCAGUUUUUUCCUCAACGGAUGCAUAGUCAACAACAUCAUUGUUGGUAUUGCUUGGAAUUGCAUCGUCUGUCAUGUCCUUUGAGCUUACUUUUGGCAUAUUCUGCAAUAAAGUUUCAUGUAGUCUUUCAAUAGAUAAACAGAUGUAAAUUUGUUGCACAUAUAAAGCCAAUAUGGUGGAUACACUUUGUGACAGUGUUUAAUCCUCACCUUCUCCUGAAGAUCUUCCGCUUCAAGUUCUUCCUCUUCAAUUGCUGUUUUUUCAUCUCUCUCUUCAACAACUUGUUCUUCAGGUGCCUCUUCAGCCGUUGAUUCUUCAGGUUUCUCUUCAAGCACUAGUUCUUCAGGUGUUUCCUCCUUUGCCAGCUCUUCAGGUGUUUCUUUAGCUGCCAGUUCUUCAGGUUUCUCUUCAGCUGCCGAUUCUUGAGGUAUUUCCUUUACCUGUACUUUAGAUUUCUCCUCAAAUGUUGGUUCUUCAGGUUUCUCCUUAACCGCAGGUACAUCAGGUUUCUCUUCAGCUGCUGGUUUUUGAGGUUUCUCCUCUACUUGUACCUCGGAUUUCUCCUCAACCAUCGGUUCUUCAGGUUUCUCCUCAACCUCUGGUACGUCAGGUUUCUCUUCAUUAACAAGUUCUUCACUUUUUUCUUCAAUAGUUGAUUCUUCAGGAUUUUCCUUAGUGUCUGGAGAGUAAGCAACAUCAUUAUUGGUAUUGCAUGGAAUUUCACUGCCAGUUGUGUCGUUCGACUCUACCAUUGGCAUAUUCUGCAGAAAGAAUUUAAUGUUUCACUUUGCCUUUCAAUAAAGAAGCCGAUGUAAAUCAGAGGACAUACAUAACUAAAAAAGAUGGAUUAACUUUGUGAUAGUGUUUGACUCUUACCUUUUCGAAAAGAGUUAUCUUUUCAGGUUUCUCCUCUUCAACUGUUGGUUCUUCAUGUUUCUCUUCAAAUGCUAGUUCCUCAGGUGUUUCUUCCUGUAUUGGUUCCUCAGGUGUUUCUUCUUCUGUUACUUGCUUUUCAGGUUUCUCCUCAAUUGUUGGUUCUUUGAUUGUCUCCCCAAUCGAUGGUUCUUCAAGCUUUCCCCCCCCUGUUGGUUUUUCAGGUUUCUCUUCAAUUUUCGGUUGUUCAG